GUGGGGAAUCUUCCGCAAUGGACGAAAGUCUGACGGAGCAACGCCGCGUGAGUGAUGAAGGUCUUCGGAUUGUAAAGCUCUGUUAAUCGGGACGAAAGAGCCUAGUGUGAAUAAUGCUAGGAAGUGACGGUACCGGAAUAGAAAGCCACGGCUAACUACGUGCCAGCAGCCGCGGUAAUACGUAGGUGGCAAGCGUUGUCCGGAAUUAUUGGGCGUAAAGCGCGCGCAGGCGGAUCUGCCAGUCUGUCUUAAAAGUUCGGGGCUUAACCCCGUGAUGGGAUGGAAACUACAGAUCUAGAGUAUCGGAGAGGAAAGUGGAAUUCCUAGUGUAGCGGUGAAAUGCGUAGAUAUUAGGAAGAACACCAGUGGCGAAGGCGACUCACUGGCCCAAUACUGACGCUGAGGCGCGAAAGCGUGGGGAGCAAACAGGAUUAGAUACCCGAGUAGUCC
rnacentral:rRNA from 1 species